rnacentral:rRNA from 1 species
AUUGAACGCUGGCGGCAGGCCUAACACAUGCAAGUCGAGCGGAUGAAGGGAGCUUGCUCCUGGAUUCAGCGGCGGACGGGUGAGUAAUGCCUAGGAAUCUGCCUGGUAGUGGGGGAUAACGUCCGGAAACGGGCGCUAAUACCGCAUACGUCCUGAGGGAGAAAGUGGGGGAUCUUCGGACCUCACGCUAUCAGAUGAGCCUAGGUCGGAUUAGCUAGUUGGUGGGGUAAAGGCCUACCAAGGCGACGAUCCGUAACUGGUCUGAGAGGAGGAUCAGUCACACUGGAACUGGAACACGGUCCCGACUCCUACGGGAGGCAGCAGUGGGGAAUAUUGGACAAUGGGGGAAAGCCUGAUCCAGCCAUGCCGCGUGUGUGAAGAAGGUCUUCGGAUUGUAAAGCACUUUAAGUUGGGAGGAAGGGCAGUAAGUUAAUACCUUGCUGUUUUGACGUUACCAACAGAAUAAGCACCGGCUAACUUCGUG